rnacentral:rRNA from 1 species
GACGAACCGUGCGAACGUUGUUCGGAAUCACUGGGCUUAAAGGGCGCGUAGGCGGCCGACCAAGUCCGGGGUGAAAGCCCCCAGCUCAACUGGGGAAGUGCCCCGGAUACUGGCCGGCUCGAGGGAGGUAGGGGCGGAUGGAACUUCCGAUGGAGCGGUGAAAUGCGUUGAUAUCGGAAGGAACGCCGGUGGCGAAAGCGAUCCGCUGGCCCUCUACUGACGCUGAGGCGCGAAAGCCAGGGGAGCAAACGGG